UAGUAAGUAUGCAAGGGCAUACGGUGGAUGCCUUGGGACCAAGAGCCGAUGAAGGACGUAGGAGACUGCGAUAAGCCUCGAGGAGCUGUCAACCAAGCCGAGAUUCGAGGAUUUCCGAAUGGGGAAACCCGUCUACGACGAAAGUCGUGGUCACCGCUGCCUGAAUAUAUAGGGCAGAGGGAGGAAACGUGGGGAAGUGAAACAUCUCAGUACCCACAGGAAGAGAAAACAACCGUGAUUCCGAGAGUAGUGGCGAGCGAAAUCGGAAGAGGCCAAACCUUGUACGCGUGAUAGCAGGUAAGCGUUGCGUGCAGGGGGUUGUGGGACCUCACUUGUCAUUGUUACCUCAAUGGCCAACAGUCAGAAAACAUAGUGUUAGUGGAAGCGAGUUGGAACGCUCCAUCACAGAGGGUGAGAAUCCCGUACACGAAAACUCUAUGUCUGUUGUGUGAGGCACCCAAGUAGCAGCGGGCCCGUGAAAUCUGCUGUGAAUCUGCCGGGACCACCCGGUAAGCCUAAAUACUCCUUGGUCACCGAUAGCGGACCAGUACCGUGAGGGAAAGGUGAAAAGUACCCCGAGAGGGGAGUGAAAUAGACCUGAAACCGUGUGCCUACAAUCCGUCAGAGCCGCAAGGUGAUGGCGUGCCUUUUGAAGAAUGAGCCUGCGAGUUAGCGGCAUGUGGCAAGGUUAACCCGGAGAGGGGCAGCCGUAGCGAAAGCGAGUCCGAAUAGGGCGUAGAGUCGCAUGUUCUAGACCCGAAGCGGAGUGAUCUACCCAUGGGCAGGGUGAAGCGAGGGUAAGACCUCGUGGAGGCCCGAACCCACUUCAGUUGAAAAUGGAGGGGAUGACCUGUGGGUAGGGGUGAAAGGCCAAUCAAACUCCGUGAUAGCUGGUUCUCCCCGAAAUGCAUAUAGGUGCAGCGUCGCGCGUUUCUUGCCGGAGGUAGAGCUACUGGAUGGUCUAGGGGGCCCACAAGCUUACCGAAAUCAGCCAAACUCCGAAUGCCGGUAAGUGAGAGCGCGGCAGUGAGACUACGGGCGAUAAGGUUCGUUAGUCGAGAGGGAAACAGCCCAGAUCGCCGACUAAGGCCCCUAAGAGUGUGCUAAGUGGAAAAGGAUGUGGAUUCGCAUGGACAACCAGGAGGUUGGCUUGGAAGCAGCCACCCUUUAAAGAGUGCGUAAUAGCUCACUGGUCAAGUGAUUCCGCGCCGACAAUGUAGCGGGGCUCAAGCACACCGCCGAAGUCGCGGCAUUCAUACAUCGUAUGGAUGGGUAGGGGAGCGUCGAAUAGCCUUUGAAGCUGCGGAGUAAUCCAGUGGUGGAGGCUAUUCGAGUGAGAAUGCAGGCAUGAGUAGCGAAAGCAAUGUGAGAAACAUUGCCACCGUAUGACUAAGGUUUCCUGGGCCAGGUUAAUCCGCCCAGGGUUAGUCGGGACCUAAGGCGAGGCCGACAGGCGUAGUCGAUGGACAACGGGUAGAUAUUCCCGUACCGACGUGAAACCGCCCAUGAUGAAUCCAGGGAUGCUAACUAUCCCAAAGCGUGCGUUCCUUCGGGAACAACCGUGGCGGCAUAGAACCCGAACUGGUAGUAGUCAAGCGAUGGGGUGACGCAGGAAGAUAGCGGAUCCAGUGAAUGGUAGUACUGGUGUAAGCCCGUGGGGCGUGGUAUAGGCAAAUCCGUACCACACAAGCCUGAGAGGUGAUGCGUAGCCGAUGAGGCGAAUUCCGUGAUUCUAUGCUGCCGAGAAAAGCCUCUAGCGAGGUUUCACGUUGCCCGUACCCUAAACCGACACAGGUAGUCAGGUAGAGCAUACCAAGGUGAUCGAGAUAACCGUGGUUAAGGAACUCGGCAAAAUACCCCCGUAACUUCGGGAGAAGGGGGGCCUCGUUUGGUGACCCAACUUGCUUGGUGAGCUGAGUGAGGCCGCAGAGACCAGGGAGAAGCGACUGUUUACUAAAAACACAGGUCCGUGCGAAGUCGUAAGACGAUGUAUACGGACUGACGCCUGCCCGGUGCUGGAAGGUUAAUAGGACCGGUUAGCCGCAAGGCGAAGCUGAGAAUUGAAGCCCCAGUAAACGGCGGUGGUAACUCUAACCAUCCUAAGGUAGCGAAAUUCCUUGUCGGGUAAGUUCCGACCUGCACGAAUGGCGUAACGACUUCUCUACUGUCUCAACCACGGACUCGGCGAAAUUGCACUACGAGUAAAGAUGCUCGUUACGCGCGGCAGGACGAAUAGACCCCGGGACCUUCACUAUAGCUUGGUAUUGGUGUUUGGUUCGAUUUGUGUAGGAUAGGUGGGAGACUGUGAAGCAGGGACGCCAGUUCUUGUGGAGUCAACGUUGAAAUACCACUCUGAUCGUAUUGAACAUCUAACCUCGGACCGUGAAUCCGGUUCAGGAACAGUGCCUGGUGGGUAGUUUAACUGGGGCGGUUGCCUCCCAAAAUGUAACGGAGGCGCCCAAAGGUUCCCUCAGCCUGGUUGGCAAUCAGGUGUUGAGUGUAAGUGCACAAGGGAGCUUGACUGUGAGAGUGACAGCUCGAGCAGGGACGAAAGUCGGGACUAGUGAUCCGGCACCGGCAAGUGGAAGCGGUGUCGCUCAACGGAUAAAAGGUACCCCGGGGAUAACAGGCUGAUCUUCCCCAAGAGUCCAUAUCGACGGGAUGGUUUGGCACCUCGAUGUCGGCUCGUCGCAUCCUGGGGUCGUAGUAGUUCCCAAGGGUUGGGCUGUUCGCCCAUUAAAGCGGCACGCGAGCUGGGUUUAGAACGUCGUGAGACAGUUCGGUCUCUAUCCGCCGCGCGCGUUAGAAACUUGAGAAAGGCUGUCCCUAGUACGAGAGGACCGGGACGGACGAACCUCUGGUGUGUCAGUUGUUCUGCCAAGAGCACCGCUGAUUAGCCACGUUCGGAAGGGAUAACCGCUGAAAGCAUCUAAGCGGGAAGCUCGUUUCAAGAUGAGGUUUCUCACCACCUUGAGUGGGUAAGGCCCCCGACAGAUCAUCGGGUUGAUAGGCCGGAACUGGAAGCGUAGUAAUACGUGCAGGUGACCGGUACUAAUAGGCCGAGGGCUUACUACA
rfam:Segniliparus rugosus ATCC BAA-974 genomic scaffold acqcO-supercont2.2, whole genome shotgun sequence.